UGAACCCCGAAAAUUCUUAUCUUUUUUUUUCAUUUUCUUGAACCCCGAAACUUUCUUUCACGCAAAUGAUCCCGGAUCACUGCAUUUGAACCCCGACACCUUGUUUGCCAAAAUAAUGAACCCCAUUCUCCAUUUGAACCCCAGUCGCCUGACGAUAACUUGUGAUCGCCAUUGUGAACCCCAUUCUCCAGAAGACACCGCAACAUUUCCCUUUCUCCAUUUGAACCCCGAUCUCCAGAAAAUGCCUCAACACUUCC
rnacentral:lncRNA from 1 species